GAACAAUCUUGUAAUCUGUCAUAAGUAUUUAGAUGCAUCCUGGGGAAAGGCCCGGCAUGGCCUGUCGUUUUUAUUUUGGGUAGUGAGAACGAAUUGCCUCAGCCCCAGCAACGUGGUUUAUUUCAGAACAGAGGUGCUGAGGAAGCAAGUUUCAUCAGGCAAGCUCCAACCACCCUCAACCCAUGAAAUCACCCUCUCAUGGUGGAAAAUUU
rnacentral:misc_RNA from 1 species